rnacentral:lncRNA from 1 species
GAUAACAUAUGAAAGUUUAAGAAAUUAUAAAAAUUUUCAACUUUUAAAAGGUCACACGCCCGUGUAAACAGGUCAUGUGCCUCACACGGUCUUAGAAACGCCCGUAUGUCUAAGCCAUGGCAAAAUAGGGCAUAGCUACUGACUUGAUCACACGGCUACAUGACAUGCCCAUGUGCCUUGGCCGUGGUUGAGUCUGACUUGGGCCACACAGCUAGCCACGCGCCCAUGUGCGUUGGCC